GGGAUAUUGCACAAUGGGGGAAACCCUGAUGCAGCGACGCCGCGUGAGUGAAGAAGUACUUCGGUAUGUAAAGCUCUAUCAGCAGGGAAGAUGAUGACAUUACCUGACUAAGAAGCCCCGGCGAACUACGUGCCAGCAGCCGCGGUAAUACGUAGGGGGCAAGCGUUAUCCGGAUUUACUGGGUGUAAAGGGAGCGUAGGCGGCUGGGCAAGUCAGAAGUGAAAGCCCGGGGCUCAACCCCGGGACUGCUUUUGAGACUGUCCAGCUAGAGUGUCGGAGGGGUAGGCGGAAUUCCUAGUGUAGCGGUGAAAUGCGUAGAUAUUAGGAGGAACACCAGUGGCGAAGGCGGCCUACUGGACGAUGACUGACGCUGAGGCUCGAAAGCGUGGGGAGCAAAC
rnacentral:rRNA from 1 species